CGCCUCUUAAAGAACAUUGAACCCCCUCAAACUCAGUUCUGAGCAUUAGGGAUUCAAAUAUUUUUGCAAAAUCUUAGAACUCACAUCAGCCGAAAUUGUGAAAUGGAUAGGCUUGGGGAAGAUGAAUUAGCCUCAAUUUUGGAAUGGAUUCAAGACCCUCGUGACAGAAAUUCAUUUUCUCUGGUUUGCAAGCGUUGGUGCAAUGUUGAAGGCUUGAAUAAAUUUUCUCUCCGCGUUUUUGAGCCUAAUUACCUCCUAAGUUUUCUACCAAGAUUCCCAAAUUUGCUUAUGUUUGAAUCAUCGGAGCCAAUCUCAGAUGCCCAGAUGGAGUUUCUUGCAAGAACAUGCCCCAGCAUUCAGAAACUCAACCUCUACUACCACGAGGCAUUUCACACCUGGGCAUCAGCUAGACAUUCCGACUUUGGCCAUGUUGGUUUACGUGCUCUGGCAAAAGGGUGUUGCAAUUUGAGGUCAGUGGUGUUGAGGCGGAGAAGAGGAGUCAGCAAUGCUGGAGUUUCUUCGCUUGUUAAGCUUUCGCGAAAUUUAGUGAAUUUGGACGUGAGAUGGUGUAAAGGGAUUAGUGAUGAAGCACUUGAGGCAAUUGGGACCAUGAGUGCUUUGACAAGCUUGAAUUUGCAAGGUUGUUGUUUAAUUUCUGAUGAGGGGCUGGCUUCUUUGGCAAAAGGGUCUCUGUGCAAGUCCCUUGAGUUCUUAAAUCUUGCAGAAUGUGAUCGAAUUUCGGAUGAUGGGGUGAUGAAAUUGGUGGCAAUGAAGUCCUUGGAGGUAUUGAAAUUGGCAGAAUGUGGUCCAAAAGUGACUGAUGUUGGUGGGAGGGCUGUGGCUGCAAUUGAAAGUCUCAAGAGAUUGAAUUUAUCGUGGCUGAUAAAUGUAUCUGAUGACACAGUUUUUGCUCUGGCUCAAAAUAGCAAAAAUUUGGCGACACUUCAUUUAGAGGGCUGUGAAUUGGUUACAGGAGAUGGUAUCCGUGCAUUUACUAGCCACAAGUCUUUACGUAAGCUAGAAUUGUAUGGUAUUUAUAAAUUUAACGUAAAUGAUGUCGAAGAGCUGGUGCUUGGAUGCCAAUCUUUGGAGUUUAUUGGGAUGGAUCAAAGAUUGAGAAGUUGGAUUCCUGUUACAGAGCAGGGGAAUAUAUUUAGGCCAGAUUGUCGGAUUUCUUGGAGGUUAUAGACCAAUAAAAGACUUACAUUUGUUAGUAGAAGGAAUUGUUCUGCAGGUAACUGUGUCCUUUUCUUUUACUUCCCGUUCCUGUAUGCCAUUUUUAUAAAGCAAUUUGGUUUCAAUGCGGGUGACAGCUCUUAUACUGUGAUUUUUGCUCCUCAUUGUAUUCUAGACAAACAUGAUGAUGAUAAGUGCAAAGGCAAAGACAAGACAGAAAUUCAAACUUCUAUUCUAGGUGAAGGGAUUUCACAUUAGGACGUAUCCCUACUAGAAGGCCAAUUUGGUGAAUCUGCAAAAGAAUUGGAUAUCUUGUAGCAUGUGGUGCCAUUAUAAUAUCCUUUACAAGAUGCUAAUGUAAUGCUCAUUCAUAAAAGUUAAGGUCAAGAAUAGCCUGUGGUUCGUGAACCAUUAUGAAGUAUAACAUAACAUCCCUGUAGUUUUAGAAUGCUCACCUUUCGCAUGUGGUCUGAAACGUGAGCCAACUAGAAGUUGGAGUUCGUACUUUCUCCAGACAGCUAUGUUCGUGUCUGACUGAUUGUCUUCAGCAGGCACAAUAUAUCAUCUUUAGAGGGCUAGGAAUGGAGGUGUUCAGUUGUUCAAUUACACUUGAUAUUGCUAGCAGUACAAGCCUUGAUGGUCUUCUCAAUGUGUUCCAAUACGUGCUUUUGAUGUUGUCAGCACAAGUUUUAAGUAUUGGCAUAUGAAUUCUUGCCUUUCAGGCUUUUAUAGAGGAACUCUGUCUACAUUUACUAGGAUUUUAGAUUUGUGGUUAAAGAUGUGCAUUUAGCAGCCUUCGUAUGCAGGAAUUGCCAUAUAGAAGUAUUUGAAUUUGAUAGUUAUAUACAUCUAGAAAACAAGAAUGCUUGCAUUACAACUGAACACAAGGGGAGUUACAAACUUACAAUUGUCACUCCAUAUGUGCUGCAUAUAUUUCUGUUCCUUUUCCAGGGUCUGAACUAGAAAGUGCCCUUCUCUUGAA